rnacentral:rRNA from 1 species
UACGGAGGGUGCAAGCGUUAUCCGGAUUCACUGGGUUUAAAGGGUGCGUAGGCGGGUUGGUAAGUCCGUGGUGAAACCUCCGAGCUUAACUCGGAAACUGCCGUGGAUACUAUCAAUCUUGAAUAUCGUGGAGGUAAGCGGAAUAUGUCAUGUAGCGGUGAAAUGCUUAGAUAUGACAUAGAACACCAAUUGCGAAGGCAGCUCACUACACGGUCAUUGACUCUGAGGCACGAAAGCGUGGGGAUCAAACAGG